rnacentral:misc_RNA from 1 species
AACGCACAUUGCGCCUUCCGGUAUUCCGGGAGGCACGUCUGUUUGAGCGUCAGCUAUACCCCUCCGGCCCCCCCCGGUUACAAAACCGGGGGAUCCCGGGCUUGCUGGCGCAGGGGACGCUGGCCGCCGCGUUUCGGCGCGGGUCGGGCCUUCCCCCGCUUAAAACCGUGGAAGAUAGCGGGCACGGCCCCGGAUAGCGAGCGACUCGUAGGACCUUACCGUCGUCUCUGCGCCUUCCGGCCUGCCCCGCCUCCACCGACUGAGGGUUGGCUCCGGCCGCCUUCUUGAACUCUUGACCUCAAAUCAGACGAGGAUACCCGCUGAACUUAA